rnacentral:rRNA from 1 species
GACGAACGCUGGCGGCGUGCCUAAUACAUGCAAGUCGAACGCUUCUUUCCUCCCGAGUGCUUGCCCUCAAUUGGAAAGAGGAGUGGCGGACGGGUGAGUAACACGUGGGUAACCUACCCAUCAGAGGGGGAUAACACUUGGAAACAGGUGCUAAUACCGCAUAACAGUUUAUGCCGCAUGGCAUAAGAGUGAAAGGCGCUUUCGGGUGUCGUUGAUGGAUGGACCCGCGGUGCAUUAGCUAGUUGGUGAGGUAACGGCUCACCAAGGCCACGAUGCAUAGCCGACCUGAGAGGGUGAUCGGACACACUGGGACUGAGACACGGCCCAGACUCCUACGGGAGGCAGCAGUAGGGAAUCUUCGGCAAUGGACGAAAGUCUGACCGAGCAACGCCGCGUGAGUGAAGAAGGUUUUCGGAUCGUAAAACUCUGUUGUUAGAGAAGAACAAGGACGUUAGUAACUGAACGUCCCCUGACGGUAUCUAACCAGAAAGCCACGGCUAACUACGUG